rnacentral:rRNA from 1 species
CUGGUUGAUCCUGCCAGUAGUCAUAUGCUUGUCUCAAAGAUUAAGCCAUGCAUGUCUCAGUGCAAGCCGUCCCGUACGGUGAAACCGCGAAAGGCUCAUUAAAUCAGUUAUGGUUCCUUAGAUAGUACCCACACUUACUUGGAUAACUGUGGUAAUUCUAGAGCUAAUACAUGCCGACAGAGUUCCGACGGGCGGCGUGUGUGACGGUGGUCUCGCGGCCGCUGUCCCCGUCGUUCGGCAGGAACGCUCUUAUUAGAUCAAAACCG